rnacentral:rRNA from 1 species
GUGCCAGCCGCCGCGGUAAGACGAACCGUGCAAACGUUAUUCGGAAUCACUGGGCAUAAAGGGCGCGUAGGCGGCUUUCUAAGUCAGGGGUGAAAUCCGGCAGCUCAACUGUCGCAGUGCCUUUGAUACUGGAGAGCUCGAGGGAGGUAGGGGUCUGUGGAACUUCCGGUGGAGCGGUGAAAUGCGUUGAUAUCGGAAGGAACGCCGGUGGCGAAAGCGACGGACUGGAUCUCUUCUGACGCUGAGGCGCGAAAGCCAGGGGAGCAAACGGGAUUAGAUACCCUGGUAGUCC